UCCCGGGCGUCGAGCGGCGGACGGGUGAGUAACGCAUAGGAAUCUGCCCGGUAGUGGGGGAUAACCUGGGGAAACUCAGGCUAAUACCGCAUACGUCCUACGGGAGAAAGCAGGGGACCUUCGGGCCUUGCGCUAUCGGAUGAGCCUAUGCCGGAUUAGCUGGUUGGUGAGGUAACGGCUCACCAAGGCGACGAUCCGUAGCUGGUCUGAGAGGAUGAUCAGCCACAUCGGGACUGAGACACGGCCCGAACUCCUACGGGAGGCAGCAGUGGGGAAUAUUGGACAAUGGGCGCAAGCCUGAUCCAGCCAUGCCGCGUGUGUGAAGAAGGCCCUCGGGUUGUAAAGCACUUUCAGUGGGGAAGAAGGCCUUUCGGUUAAUACCCGGGAGGAGCGACAUCACCCACAGAAGAAGCACCGGCUAACUCCGUGCCAGCAGCCGCGGUAAUACGGAGGGUGCGAGCGUUAAUCGGAAUUACUGGGCGUAAAGCGCGCGUAGGCGGCGUGAUAAGCCGGUUGUGAAAGCCCCGGGCUCAACCUGGGAACGGCAUCCGGAACUGUCAGGCUAGAGUGCAGGAGAGGAAGGUAGAAUUCCCGGUGUAGCGGUGAAAUGCGUAGAGAUCGGGAGGAAUACCAGUGGCGAAGGCGGCCUUCUGGACUGACACUGACGCUGAGGUGCGAAAGCGUGGGUAGCAAACAGGAUUAGAUACCCUGGUAGUCCACGCCGUAAACGAUGUCGACUAGCCGUUGGGGUCCUCGAGACCUUUGUGGCGCAGUUAACGCGAUAAGUCGACCGCCUGGGGAGUACGGCCGCAAGGUUAAAACUCAAAUGAAUUGACGGGGGCCCGCACAAGCGGUGGAGCAUGUGGUUUAAUUCGAUGCAACGCGAAGAACCUUACCUACCCUUGACAUCGUGCGAACUUGGUAGAGAUACCUUGGUGCCUUCGGGAGCGCACAGACAGGUGCUGCAUGGCCGUCGUCAGCUCGUGUUGUGAAAUGUUGGGUUAAGUCCCGUAACGAGCGCACCCCUUGUCCCUAUUUGCCAGCGAUACGGUCGGGAACUCUAGGGAGACUGCCGGUGACAAACCGGAGGAAGGUGGGGACGACGUCAGGUCAUCAUGGCCCUUACGGGUAGGGCUACACACGUGCUACAAUGGCCGGUACAAAGGGAGGCGAAGCCGCGAGGUGGAGCGAAUCCCGAAAAGCCGGUCUCAGUCCGGAUCGGAGUCUGCAACUCGACUCCGUGAAGUCGGAAUCGCUAGUAAUCGUGAAUCAGAAUGUCACGGUGAAUACGUUCCCGGGCCUUGUACACACCGCCCGUCACACCAUGGGAGUGGACUGCACCAGAAG
rnacentral:rRNA from 1 species